UGGGGAAUUUUGGACAAUGGGCGCAAGCCUGAUCCAGCCAUGCCGCGUGCGGGAAGAAGGCCUUCGGGUUGUAAACCGCUUUUGUCAGGGAAGAAAUCUUCUGAGUUAAUACCUCGGGAGGAUGACGGCUACCUGAAGAAUAAGCACCGGCUAACUACGUGCCAGCAGCCGCGGUAAUACGUAGGGUGCAAGCGUUAAUCGGAAUUACUGGGCGUAAAGCGUGCGCAAGGCGGUUUUGUAAGACAGAGGUGAAAUCCCCGGGCUCAACCUGGGAACUGCCUUUGUGACUGCAAGGCUUGAGUGCGGCAGAGGGGGGAUGGAAUUCCGCGUGUAGCAGUGAAAUGCGUAGAUAUGCGGAGGAACACCGAUGGCGAAGGCAA
rnacentral:rRNA from 1 species